rnacentral:rRNA from 1 species
AUUGAACGCUGGCGGCAGGCCUAACACAUGCAAGUCGAACGAGUGGCGGACGGGUGAGUAAUGUUUGGGAAACUGCCUGAUGGAGGGGGAUAACUACUGGAAACUGUCGCUAAUACCGCAUACCAUCAGAUGUGCCCAGAUGGGAUUAGCUUGUUGGUGGGGUAACGGCCCACCAAGGCGACGAUCCCUAGCUGGUCUGAGAGGAUGACGAGCCACACGGGAACUGAGAGACGGUCCGGACUCCUACGGGAGGCAGCAGUGGGGAAUAUUGCGCAAUGGGGGCAAGCCUGAUGCAGCCAGGCCGCGUGAAUGAAGAAGGCCUUCGGGUUGUAAAGUUCUUUCGGCAGGGAGGCGUUACCCGCAGAAGAAGCACCGGCUAACUCCGUGCCAGCAGCCGCGGUAAUUC